GAGAAAUAAAAUCUCUGAAUAGCAAUUGAAUUGGAUUCCAGAAUCUGAUUUCAAUGGGCAUGUCCUCCUGUCCUGAUGGACAGUUCCAGUGUAUUGAUUCUCAAGUCUGUGUUUCCAUGGAGCAAGUGUGUGAUUUCCACACCAACUGUUCAGAUGGAUCAGAUGAAGCGUUUUGUGGCUCUUGUGACUUUGAGAUGGAAAACAUCAGUACUAUGAGAAAGACACUUUGAGAAAGACACCUGUUCCUUGUCCCAUGACCAGUCAACUGAACUCAAAUGGAAAAAAAGAAGAUGGACAGAACCCUCCCUUUGAUUAUCAGGGACCUACACAUGAUCACACCACUGGUUCUGACUCUCUCUCUCAGAUUUGUCACCAAUCAUGCUAAUGGAAAACAGAUGAUUAUAUGGAUGAGGACAGAAACUCAAGGCAACAAGUGGCAUUUUGUGGACCUUAGUUUCGCAGACAUUGAAGAACCAAUUCAGGUAUGAAAAUCACACACUCUAUACCUGCAUGGAUAGAUAUGUACAUGUGUGUUCUCAUGCAUUGCAUCCAAUAGUUUAUAUAUGAUGGCAUCCUGGAAAGUGUAGACGGCUAAAUUGCCAUAGAUGAAGUGCAGGUGUCCAGCAGUAUAAAUGGGUCCUGUCCAGCUGAGCGUGAAUGCACCUUCCAAGACUCUCUGUGUGGCCUAAAGUCAGAUCCGACAACUAAUUUUACUUGGAUCUGAACCAGUGGAGAUCUGGCCAUUGGCACACACAGCCCUGCAGCGGAUCAUACUUUAGAAACUGAUUAGGGUCUGAAUA
ensembl:lncRNA